UACGUAGGGUGCGAGCGUUAAUCGGAAUUACUGGGCGUAAAGCGUGCGCAGGCGGUUAUUUAAGUCAGGUGUGAAAGCCCUGGGCUUAACCUAGGAAUUGCGCUUGAGACUGGAUAGCUUGGAGUGCGGCAGAGGGAGGUGGAAUUCCCGGUGUAGCAGUGAAAUGCGUAGAUAUCGGGAGGAACAUCCGUGGCGAAGGCGGCCACCUGGACCAGCACUGACACUGAGGCACGAAAGCGUGGGGAGCAAACAGG
rnacentral:rRNA from 1 species